AACAUGCUGUACCUGCAAUGUUCUCCUGCUUGGGGCAAAUUCCUUUUGUAGGCGUGAGAAGACGGUCUUCUUCAUCGGGUGUGACUUGGAUCCCGAUUUCCACUGGCUCUGACACUUUCCUGAGCUCGGCGCGUGAGGAGGGGGGAGGGCUGCUCUUAUCCAUGCUCUUUUCAUAGCAGACACCACCAGUGCCAUUGCACUGUUUUCUCUUGUGCUCUAUAAAAACCAAGAUGUCUCCCAGCGGGAAGUUCAUCUGACACUGUCCACAGGUUAACAAGUCGGGGUCUGUCCCACCUGCAGCGAUGCUGAUGCCACCCGGCUCUGCUAUUGCCAGGCUCUCAUCCUCGUCGGCGAGUGCCGGUUCCACAUGGUCAGCCUCUGGUGUGAUAAUCUCUCUUUGUGACAAGUGCUGCGGGUUUCCCUGCUUGCGACGGGACAUUGCCCUGGCAUUUACACUGGCAUCGCCUGGAGAGCUGCACUGGUCUGGGGGCUGCGUUGGGGGCCGGUCCUCCUCCUCUGCUUUUUUUGCGUCUUUUCUUCUUCUUCUUCUUG
rnacentral:lncRNA from 1 species